GUCCACGCCGUAACGAUGAAUGCUAGCCGUUGGCGAGCUUGCUCGUCAGUGGCGCAGCUAACGCUUUAAGCAUUCCGCCUGGGAGUACGGUCGCAAGAUUAAACUCAAAGGAAUUGACGGGGCCCGCACAAGCGGUGGAGCAUGUGGUUUAAUUCGAAGCAACGCGCAGAACCUUACCAACCUUUGACAUGUCCGGUUUGGAUGCCAGAGAUGGCUUCCUUCAGUUCGGCUGGCCGGAACACAGGUGCUGCAUGGCUGUCGU
rnacentral:rRNA from 1 species